rnacentral:rRNA from 1 species
AGUGAACGCUGGCGGUAGGCCUAACACAUGCAAGUCGAACGGCAGCACAGUAAGAGCUUGCUCUUACGGGUGGCGAGUGGCGGACGGGUGAGGAAUACAUCGGAAUCUACUUUUUCGUGGGGGAUAACGUAGGGAAACUUACGCUAAUACCGCAUACGACCUACGGGUGAAAGCAUGGGAUCUUCGGACCUUUCGCGUUUGUAUGAGCCGAUGUCGGAUUAGCUAGUUGGCGGGGUAAAGGCCCACCAAGGCGACGAUCCGUAGCUGGUCUGAGAGGAUGAUCAGCCAAACUGGAAAUGAGAAACGGUCCAGACUCCUACGGGAGGCAGCAGUGGGGAAUAUUGGAAAAUGGGCGCAAGCCUGAUCCAGCCAUACAGCGUGGGUGAAGAAGGCCUUCGGGUUGUAAAGCCCUUUGGUUGGGAAAGAAAAGAAGCAGGUUAAUACCCCGCUGUUCUGACGGUACCAAAAGAAUAAGCACCGGCUAACUUCGU